GCUCUAAUAGCUUAAUCUCAAAGCAUUGUUCUUGUAAACCAAAGCCGGACCUAAAUCCUUAGAGCA
rnacentral:tRNA from 1 species